AUUGAACGCUGGCGGCAGGCCUAACACAUGCAAGUCGAACGAGUGGCGGACGGGUGAGUAAUGUCUGGGAAACUGCCUGAUGGAGGGGGAUAACUACUGGAAACGGUAGCUAAUACCGCAUACCAUCAGAUGUGCCCAGGUGGGAUUAGCUAGUUGGUGGGGUAACGGCUCACCAGGGCGACGAUCCCUAGCUGGUCUGAGAGGAUGACCAGCCACACUGUAACUGGGACACGGUCCAGACUCCUACGGGAGGCAGCAGUGGGUAAUAUUGCACAAUGGACGCAAGCCUGAUGCAGCCAUGCCGCGUGUAUGAAGAAGGCCUUCGGGUUGUAAAGUACUUUCAGCGGGGAGGCGUUACCCGCAGAAGAAGCACCGGCUAACUCCGUGCCAGCAGCCGCGGUAAUAC
rnacentral:rRNA from 1 species